rnacentral:rRNA from 1 species
CGAUUACUAGCAACUCCGACUUCAUGCAGUGGAGUUGCAGCCUGCAAUCCGAACUGGGAUCGGUUUUGGUGAUUUGCUCCACAUCACUGUAUUGCCUCUCAUUGUACCGACCAUUGUAGCACGUGUGUAGCCCAGAACAUAAGGGGCAUGAUGAUUUGACGUCAUCCCCACCUUCCUCCGAGUUGACCUCGGCAGUCUCGUCAGAGUCCUCAACUUAAUGUUAGUAACUGACGACAAGGGUUGCGCUCGUUGCGGGACUUAACCCAACAUCUCACGACACGAGCUGACGACAACCAUGCACCACCUGUCUCAACUUUCCCCGAAGGGCACCUAAUGUAUCUCUACUUCGUUAGUUGGAUGUCAAAUCCUGGUAAGGUUCUUCGCGUUGCGUCGAAUUAAACCACAUAAUCCACUGCUUGUGCGGGCCCCCGUCAAUUCCUUUGAGUUUCAACCUUGCGGUCGUACUCCCCAGGUGGAAUACUUAUUGUGUUAACUGCGGCACGGAAGGGGUCAGUCCUCCCACACCUAUAUCUACCCAUUUC